AAGUGGGUUACGUCCCCCCACCGGGACGCACCUAUCUGGAAGGAUAGGAGGA
rfam:Marine metagenome 1096626827857, whole genome shotgun sequence.